rnacentral:lncRNA from 1 species
UUUACCUCGACCUUUUGGUUUCCCAGAAGAAAGAAGAGAGCUACAGCAGUUAACAUUGUGUCUAAGAUUUGACACCCCGAGUUCAUGCUCACCCACAGGUGGCCAGUAGUCUGCAUUGUGUCAUCCACAUCUCUUAGGAAGAUAGUUGCCCCUUCAGAUCCAUUGUGUUACUGCGAACAAGUUCAUAAUAACUAAAAAUGUUUCGUUCUUCCAAAGCAUUUCUACACAUCUCACCAGCCUCGUGACUAUGGAUUAGCACACUGCCUUCACGCAUUUAAGGACAGAUGGCUGUUAUCACCACAGUGUACGUGAUAGCAUAGUCAAACAUUGUCUCCAAGUGGGGUCGCAGAGACCGGACCACAGAGAUCUAUGCAGGCUAUCAACAUAGAGUUUACUCACAUUUACUUUGAAACUUUCAUGCAUUUUAAAAAUCAACUUGGAACCUGUCACGUGUUUGUCCCUAAAUUUAAGUGACAGAAACCCAGAGAUCAUUCUUCUGCUUUAUCAAAGACCAAGGGGCCCCAAAGGGAGAGGUGCUAGAGACUCCCGAACUUGAGUCAAACUGUGAUACAGGAGGAACAGGAGCGAAGAUGCUCAGAGCCCACAUGUUGGAAACACAUUAACGUGCGGUUAUUGCUAGAAGUAACUGUGAAAAUGGUACUUGGCUGUUGCAGCUGCUCCCAUCAUAUUUGGUUUACUGAAAAAGAAAAUGUUUAUUAUGGUUAGGACUGCAAGCCUCAGGCAUCCACAUCUCAAGUGUCUCCUAAUCUCUCCUCCAACAGCCAUCCGUCUGGCAGCAGAAGAACAGGCAGUUCUGUAUGUUUGAAUUCAGGAUUUAGUGUGUUGGGCCAAAGUCUCGUUACCCUUUCUAUUUGUAAGCUGUGAGCAUAAUAGACAGAGAUGGAGACAGGCUGUAUGGGUACCCACAACUGUUUUCAAACUUCCAUUCCGAAUAUGAGUAGAUCUUCAAUAACAUUUAGGGGCAACUUGAAAAUUGUCUCUUUUAAAUGUAAUAUCUUUUUUAAAUUAUUGUUUUUCUGGAAUCACCCCUUCUUUGGUUAUAGUACUGCACCAGUGUUUCAUGCUGUGUUACUUAGGGACAUUUCUGCGCCUUAGCUUUUGGACUUUCUCACAAGUGGAAGAAGUCAUUAACAUUUGUUGUAAGCCUACCUACUCACCUUAAGUUUUAGAUAUAAUUCAUUUAAUCUUAAUGGAAAAAAAAUCUUGUGAGGUUGUCACUUUUGUUAAGGUCACAUUUUAGAUGUAGGGAUGAGGCCAAUGUAAUUUAAAUAACACCUCCCCCCUGAAUUGUGUAUUUAAUACCAGACUAUGGUUCCAGAUUCCCAGAGUUCUAAUCCAUGAACCUUCUUUUAAUCUGACUUUGGCGGACCUCUCUGGUUAACCGUUGCUUUAUCAAGGGAUACUGUAUUUUCCAGGGAAGUGGGAAUAAAAUAUUUGUUGUAAACAGCAAAGUUUUUCAUAAUUAAGAAAAAUUCUUCCUGCUAUUAGAGAACAGGUAUGUGCCCACUUUUAGGUGACAGGUGGUGACCUUAACCUCAUGAGUUUUGGGGACCACGGUGUUACAUAAGCAGGGCUCACUUCAAACUGUUUUAAUUCAACAUCAGUGAGAUCAGCUCAUCUAAAAGCAUAAACUGUGAAUACCGGGAGCCCCUGACUACAUCCCAAGGACUCAUCAAGAUGAAACCCUAAGUCAAGCUUUGGCUUCUAAGACAGUCUCAUAACCUCAAAGUGACCAGUACAGAAAAUAUAAAACCAUCCUCAGGCUGUGGGAGAGUGGCUCACAAGCUCCCUUAUUAAGGGACAAUCUGCAAGCUGAAAUACCCUUUUUAAGUGCAUAAUGUUCCUAUUUCAGAACUGACAAAUUUGUGUGUUUAUUGGGAUUUUAUUCCUUCUGUAUGAGACUGAUUUAAAUGGCUCAGAUAACUUAAAUUCAAACAUGACUCCACAUGCCCAUACAUGCACACCUAUAAAUAUUCAUUCCAUAAUUGCCUUUUUUUACAU